rnacentral:rRNA from 1 species
GGGGAUGCAAGCGUUAUCCGGAAUCAUUGGGCGUAAAGCGCCUGUAGGUUGUUUAGUAAGUCUGUUGUUAAAGACCAGGGCUUAACCCUGGGAAAGCAAUGGAAACUACUAGACUUGAGUAUGGCAGGGGUAGAGGGAAUUUCUAGUGUAGCGGUGAAAUGCGUAGAUAUUAGAAAGAACACCGGCGGCGAAAGCGCUCUACUGGACCAUUACUGACACUCAGAGGCGAAAGCUAGGGGAGCAAAAGGGAUUAGAUACCCCUGUAGUCCUAGCCGUAAACGAUGGAUACUAGAUGUUGCGCAAUUUGUGCAGUAUCUUAGCUAACGCGUUAAGUAUCCCGCCUGGGGAGUACGCUCGCAAGGGUGAAACUCAAAGGAAUUGACGGGGGCCCGCACAAGCGGUGGAGCAUGUGGUUUAAUUCGAUGCAACGCGAAGAACCUUACCAGGGCUUGACAUACUACAAAUCUUUUCGAAACGAAAGAGUGCCUUCGGGAAUGUAGAUACAGGUGGUGCAUGGCUGUCGUCAGCUCGUGUCGUGAGAUGUUGGGUUAAGUCCCGCAACGAGCGCAACCCUCAUUUUUAGUUGCCAAUUUAUUGGGAUUUCUAGAGAGACUGCCGGUGACAAACCGGAGGAAGGUGAGGAUGACGUCAAGUCAGCAUGCCCCUUAUGCCCUGGGCCACACACGUGCUACAAUGGCGAAGACAAAGAGUCGCAAACCUGCGAAGGCUAGCUAAAUCUCGUAAACUUUCGUCUAAGUUCGGAUUGCAGG